rnacentral:tRNA from 1 species
GGGCAUAUAGCAUAACGGGAUAGUGUAACCGGGUACGAACCGGUAGAUGCAGGUUCAAAUCCUGCUGUGCCCG